rnacentral:piRNA from 1 species
UAUCUGAUCAAUCCACGUACUGCCCGUGC